GGGACCGGGCGCCGCCGAGCAGGGGCGGUGUGUGUCCGGGAGGCUAGGGCAGCGCAGGAGCCAAUUGCCGGGGAGGAGGGGUGGCUCGCGCAUGUCCGGCUGCAGGUGCCGAGCCCUGCCCUGCGGAGGCGGCUGAGGCCCGGCGAGAAUUCAAGCGCGGCGCGGGCGGGCGGGCAGUACUGGGGGACCUGGCGCACCCUCUGCAGCUGCUGGCCCGGGUGCUAAGCCCCUUACUGCCCGCGGCCAGCAGCGCUGGCGGGCCGCUGUGAGUGUGGGGCCUGCGGAUCCCGCGCCCACCCGGAACUCGCGCUGGCCCGCUAGCGCCCUGCGCAGCUCCGGUUCCCGCCCACUCCUCUCCCUCUACACCGGCCUGCAAGCAGAGGGAGCUGGCUCCGGCCUCAGCCUGCCCAGAGAGGGGCUCCUACAGUGCAGCGGCGGGCUGAAGGGCUCCUCAAGCGCGGCCAGAGUGGACGCCGAGGCCAAGGAGGCGCCCAGAGCGAGCGAGGGCUGCUAGCAUGUUGUCACCUCUCAGUGGCAUGAUCUCCAUUCACUGCAACCUCCACCUCUCGGGUUCAAGCGAUUCUCCUGCCUCAGCCUCAUGUAGCUGGGAUUACAGGCACGAGCCACCACACCUGGCUAAUUUGUUUUGAAUUUUUAGUAGAGAGGGGGUUUCACCAUGUUGGCCAGGCCAGUCUUCAACUCCUGGACUCAAGUAAUCCACCUGCCUCAGCCUUCCAAAAUGCUGGGAUUACAGGCGUGAGCCAUCACGUCCUGCCCUGACCUCUGCUUUCAGCCACAAACUUAGGUAAAAGAAAAGUAGCUUUUGCUCAUAAAGUGAUUGGAGACAGCCUGUUGUCCAACAGUGUCUCCCUUAUUGGACCAUGACUUUUCCCAGGCAGGGGCCAUGUCUUAUUUGUGUGUAUAUUUCCAUCACCCAGCACAGCACUUGGCACGUGAUACAGGUUCAGUAUAUAUUUUCAAACAAAUAAAUUGAAGUGAAGAAUUGAGUCAAGGAGACAAGACCUUUGAAGGCCAAAAGAUCGAAGUUUGUGGUAAUGAGACAUCGAGCUCUGGUUUGAACUAAAAUCCUUUGAAGUGAAAAACCUCUUGAGUGGUUGUGAAACUUGAACUUACCAUAAAUAUCUCUUCGUAUUUUUUGAGCCGAUUAAUCCAUGGCUCCCAUAAAAUCUUCUGCACAUUAAACAACAGGGUAAGAGCACCACGCCUUCCUCUGCCUCCACCGCCAACUUGGCGGAGACUAGACCCAAGGAUGCAGGAGCCGUUCCUCUCCGUCUGAGCCUGCUGGGCUGAAUGGGCAUGAAGAAAGUUGGAGAACAGAACGUGCAAACCGGGUAUUAUCAUUUUCCAUCUGUGCUACCAUGUGAAAAAGGUUGGGAAACUCUACUGGAAACUGACCUCGCUCUUGGGACCCACCCUGCCAGGCAAAAGGGGGGCCUGCUUGGUGUUCAGUGUCAUUUCUAGGAUGAUCCCUGCUACAGUGGGGUCCCUCCACUACAGCUGAGUCCCUCUGCUACUCUUGCAAUGGAACACUGGGGCUUGGAGUUAAGAGAACAUGUCAUAGAGGGAAGCAUAAAUCCCCUGGCCUCUUGAAAUGCAAGUCCUAUGUUUAGCUACAGAAUGGUAAACAUUCUUCUCGUUCUAAAUAAAGUAACCAUUCCAUGUUCAAACUGCGACUUGUUUUGCAUUUUUUCUCCCAUUGAAAUAGCAUGUGGCAUGGGAAGAGUACCCUCUGUAAGUCUAGGUUCCAGAAAUAGAUCUUUAAUCUUUCCUUAUAACUCGCCUUGUGUUUCUAGGUCUUUUUGUUCCCC
rnacentral:lncRNA from 10 species